UUAAAUAUCGAGCUCAACGGGCUUUUACCAAAUGUUUUGGUCAAAAUAGUGAUUAUUUUGGGGAAAAAUGUAUACAAAUUAUUGCCGAGUUCCCAGAGGGCGUUACUUGGAAAAUUCUUGUCAAUCACUGCGGAGCUCUGGAAUAAACCCACUGGCGCAACAAAUUGGAAGGAGAGCGUUAUGUAAGCCCAAGUCAGUAGCAGGUUAUAUUCGUUCGAUUGGCACUCAAUCAGCCGCCUGAAAUAUAUCUGCCAGAUCUAAAAUCCCAACCGAACGACCCAAUGAAUAAAACGCAUUCCGUCACGUAAGACGCGAUUGGCACCUGCGUGGAGAGUCAAUGAAAUCGAUGGAAUCGACUUAAUAUUGGCCCGAAUCGAAUAGCCGGGCUAAGAGCGAACUAACGGUUAGCGGGCCAUUUCGCAGGUAAGUUAAUAAUGCCCAGAGCCCCGCGGGAAAUUGCAGAGAACGAAAAGCCAGCGCAUUCGUAAUUGAGCUUAUUAUUAUUUUUUUUGUUUGUGUGUGUGUGUUGCUUGUAUGAUUACGUUUUAGCAGCUUUCUUUUCGCUCGAAAUGACGCAUUUUGUGCCGGCCAGCAAAAUGGCAACAAUCGCGGGAAUCGCAAAAUCGCGCGUCAGAAAGAGAUGGCUGGCUGGCUAAAGCGGCGGCGUUUCGCGAUUGGAUUGGAAGAAACUGAACAGAAAAUACAAAAAAAAAUAACAAAAAACCCGCUGGCGCACACACAUUCGCACAAACAGCAACAUCCACAGCAACCAGCAACAUGCACACCAGCAACUAGCAACUAGCAACAUGCAGCAGAAGCAGCCGCAGCAGCAACACGCGGACAACGCCUUCCAACGUGACUGAUUGCCACUUGGCACGCAAGCCAAAGGAAGCCAGAGCCACGUUGCCAAAGUUACUGCAGUCAGUGGUUUGGCUAAAAAAAAGAAAAAGCCCCCCACCUCCCCGCCUUCAGCGCAGCCCCUGUGAAAGCCGCGCCAUUGUGGCCAAAAGCAAUGGCCGUCAAAAGCCGCUGUUGUUUACCAUUUUGUGCCCACACCCGAUCCUCAGCUCUCUUGGGCGAAAAAAACAAAAUAAAAGGAAAACUGGUUAGAUAGCAGGAGUACACCGCCCCACGCCCCCCUUUUUGAGGGGGGAAAACUCGUUGGAUGCUCCGCCAAGAUGAUUGACUUCUGCUGUUACACUUUAAGCAGCAGCCAUCGCUGCCGAUGGGUACUAUAUGCACGUGGAUCGGCCAAUUAUAUAGGUUGACUAUCUACGGAAAGUGUGCAAAAUGAAGCUUACUUUCAAGGUGUGAAAUUAAAACUUUUCAAAUAAUAUAUACAAAUAAAUGCUUAGGAGUUAGGUAGCAAACGCAAUUUGUGUGCACCUAUUAAUA